rnacentral:rRNA from 1 species
UCUCCGUUGGUGAACCAGCGGAGGGAUCAUUACCGAGUUAUCCAACUCCCAACCCCUGUGAAUUAUACCUUUAAUUGUUGCUUCGGCGGGACUUCGCGCCCGCCGGGGACCCAAACCUUCUGAAUUUUUUAAUAAGUAUCUUCUGAGUGGUUAAAAAAAAAUGAAUCAAAACUUUCAACAACGGAUCUCUUGGUUCUGGCAUCGAUGAAGAACGCAGCGAAAUGCGAUAAGUAAUGUGAAUUGCAGAAUUCAGUGAAUCAUCGAAUCUUUGAACGCACAUUGCGCCCGUCAGUAUUCUGGCGGGCAUGCCUGUUCGAGCGUCAUUACGCCCCUCAAGUCCCCUGUGGACUUGGUGUUGGGGAUCGGCGAGGCUGGUUUUCCAGCACAGCCGUCCCUUAAAUUAAUUGGCGGUCUCGCCGUGGCCCUCCUCUGCGCAGUAGUAAAACACUCGCAACAGGAGCCCGGCGCGGUCCACUGCCGUAAAACCCCCCAACUUUUUAUAGUUGACCUCGAAUCAGGUAGGACUACCCGCUGAACUUAA